GUCGCGAUGGUCAGUUUUUCAGCUUCGAACUGGCAGAGAGCUAAACAACAAGAUCAGGGUGGCGAUGGUCAGUUUUUCAGCUUCGAACGGGCAGAGAGCUAAACAACAAGAUCAGCGUGGCGAUGGUCAGUUCUUGAGCUUCGAACGGGCAGAAAGCUAAACAACAAGAUCAGGGUGGCGAUGGUCAGUUUUUCAGCUUCGAACGGGCAGAGAG